rnacentral:rRNA from 1 species
AUACGUAGGUGGCAAGCGUUGUCCGGAAUUAUUGGGCAUAAAGCGCGCGCAGGCGGCUUCUUAAGUCUGAUGUGAAAGCCCACGGCUCAACCGUGGAGGGUCAUUGGAAACUGGGAGGCUUGAGUGCAGAAGAGAAGAGCGGAAUUCCACGUGUAGCGGUGAAAUGCGUAGAGAUGUGGAGGAACACCAGUGGCGAAGGCGGCUCUUUGGUCUGUAACUGACGCUGAGGCGCGAAAGCGUGGGGAGAGAACAGGAUUAGAUACCCUGGUAUUCCACGCCGUAAACGAUGAGUGCUAAGUGUUAGGGGGUUUCCGCCCCUUAGUGCUGCAGCAAACGCAUUAAGCACUCCGCCUGGGGAGUACGGCCGCAAGGCUGAA